AAGUUAAAUCUUAGACUAUGCUGUAGAAAGCUUUAGCCCAGAUAAAAAUAAACCACGAAGGUGACUUUAAACAAUCCGAUCACACGAUAGCUAAGACACAAACUGGGAUUAGAUACCCCACUAUGCUUAGCCCUAAACCUAAGUAGCCUAAACAACGAUGCUACUCGCCAGAGUACUACUAGCAACAGCUUAAAACUCAAAGGACUUGGCGGUGCUUUACAUCCCUCUAGAGGAGCCUGUUCUGUAAUCGAUAAACCCCGAUAAACCUCACCAACUCUUGCUAAUACAGCCUAUAUACCGCCAUCUUCAGCAAACCCUAAAAAGGAAGCAAAGUAAGCAAAACCAUGAAACAUAAAAACGUUAGGUCAAGGUGUAGCCUAUGAGUUGGAAAGAAAUGGGCUACAUUUUCUAGCAUAGAAUAUCAACGAAAAUUUUCGUGAAACCGAAAAUAGAAGGAGGAUUUAGUAGUAAAUUAAGAAUAGAGAGCUUAAUUGAAUAAGGCCAUGAAGCACGCACACACCGCCCGUCACCCUCCUCGAGUAUAAAGAUACAAAUACUCAACCCUAUUAAUAAAUGUACACGCAUAUGAGAGGAGAUAAGUCGUAACAAGGUAAGCGUACUGGAAAGUGCGCUUGGAUAAAUCAAAGUGUAGCUUAUACAAAGCACCUGGCCUACACCCAGAAGAUUCCAUACAACAAUGGCCACUUUGAACAAAUGCUAGCCCAUACAAAUAUAAAUGCAACUAACAAUACAAAAUAAAACAAAACAUUUACCCU
rnacentral:rRNA from 1 species